UACGUAGGGGCCGAGCGUUGUCCGGAGUUACUGGGCGUAAAGCGCGCGCAGGCGGCUCGUCAAGCCUGACGUGAAAGCCCCCGGCUCAACCGGGGAGGGUCGUCGGGGACUGGCGGGCUUGAGGUCGGCAGGGGCUGGUGGAAUUCCAGGUGUAGCGGUGAAAUGCGUAGAUAUCUGGAGGAACACCGGUGGCGAAGGCGACAUCCUGGACCGGUAUUGACGCUGAGGCGCGAAAGCCAGGGGAGCAAACGGG
rnacentral:rRNA from 1 species